UACGUAGGGUGCAAGCGUUGUCCGGAAUUAUUGGGCGUAAAGAGCUCGUAGGCGGUUUGUCGCGUCGAAUGUGAAAACCCGGGGCUCAACCCCGGGCCUGCAUUCGAUACGGGCAGACUAGAGUUCGGUAGGGGAGUCUGGAAUUCCUGGUGUAGCGGUGAAAUGCGCAGAUAUCAGGAGGAACACCGGAGGCGAAGGCGGGACUCUGGGCCGAUACUGACGCUGAGGAGCGAAAGCGUGGGGAGCAAACAGG
rnacentral:rRNA from 1 species